UGAGGAAUAUUGGUCAAUGGGCGCUAGCCUGAACCAGCCAAGUAGCGUGAAGGAUGACUGCCCUAUGGGUUGUAAACUUCUUUUAUAUGGGAAUAAAGUGCAGUAUGUAUACUGCUUUGCAUGUACCUUAUGAAUAAGGAUCGGCUAACUCCGUGCCAGCAGCCGCGGUAAUACGGAGGAUCCGAGCGUUAUCCGGAUUUAUUGGGUUUAAAGGGAGCGUAGGCGGGUUGUUAAGUCAGUUGUGAAAGUUUGCGGCUCAACCGUAAAAUUGCAGUUGAUACUGGCAUCCUUGAGUACAGUAGA
rnacentral:rRNA from 1 species